GGUGGGAUGGCCGAGAGGUCUAAGGCGCCAGACUAAGGUGUUGCUCAAUUUCGCACUGUUUACCAAUCUGGUCUCUUCGGGGGCGGGAGCUCGAAUCUCCCUCUCAUCA